GCCAGGUGUGGUGGCGGGCACCUGUAGUCCCAGCUACUUGGGAGGCUGAGGCAGGAGAACCACUUGAACCCAGGAGGUGGAGGUUGCAGUGAGCCGAGAUUGUACCACUGCACUCCAGCCUGGGUAACAGAGUGAGACUCUGUCUCAA
rnacentral:SRP_RNA from 1 species